UACAGAGGGUGCGAGCGUUAAUCGGAAUUACUGGGCGUAAAGCGCACGUAGGCGGCUGCGCAAGUCGGGUGUGAAACCCCGGGGCUCAACCUGGGAAUUGCAUUCGAGACUGCAUUGCUGGAGUACGGAAGAGGAAGGCGGAAUUCCCGGUGUAGCGGUGAAAUGCGUAGAUAUCGGGAGGAACAUCAGUGGCGAAGGCGGCCUUCUGGUCCAGUACUGACACUCAAGUGCGAAAGCGUGGGGAGCAACAGG
rnacentral:rRNA from 1 species